AAAGAACCCCGGCGAGGGGAGUGAAAAAGAACCUGAAACCGUGUACGUACAAGCAGUGGGAGCCUCUUUAUGGGGUGACUGCGUACCUUUUGUAUAAUGGGUCAGCGACUUAUAUUCUGUAGCAAGGUUAACCGAAUAGGGGAGCCGAAGGGAAACCGAGUCUUAACUGGGCGUUAAGUUGCAGGGUAUAGACCCGAAACCCGGUGAUCUAGCCAUGGGCAGGUUGAAGGUUGGGUAACACUAACUGGAGGACCGAACCGACUAAUGUUGAAAAAUUAGCGGAUGACUUGUGGCUGGGGGUGAAAGGCCAAUCAAACCGGGAGAUAGCUGGUUCUCCCCGAAAGCUAUUUAGGUAGCGCCUCGUGAAUUCAUCUCCGGGGGUAGAGCACUGUUUCGGCAAGGGGGUCAUCCCGACUUACCAACCCGAUGCAAACUGCGAAUACCGGAGAAUGUUAUCACGGGAGACACACGGCGGGUGCUAACGUCCGUCGUGAAGAGGGAAACAACCCAGACCGCCAGCUAAGGUCCCAAAGUCAUGGUUAAGUGGGAAACGAUGUGGGAAGGCCCAGACAGCCAGGAUGUUGGCUUAGAAGCAGCCAUCAUUUAAAGAAAGCGUAAUAGCUCACUGGUCGAGUCGGCCUGCGCGGAAGAUGUAACGGGGCUAAACCAUGCACCGAAGCUGCGGCAGCGACACUAUGUGUUGUUGGGUAGGGGAGCGUUCUGUAAGCCUGUGAAGGUGUGCUGUGAGGCAUGCUGGAGGUAUCAGAAGUGCGAAUGCUGACAUAAGUAACGAUAAAGCGGGUGAAAAGCCCGCUCGCCGGAAGACCAAGGGUUCCUGUCCAACGUUAAUCGGGGCAGGGUGAGUCGACCCCUAAGGCGAGGCCGAAAGGCGUAGUCGAUGGGAAACAGGUUAAUAUUCCUGUACUUGGUGUUACUGCGAAGGGGGGACGGAGAAGGCUAUGUUGGCCGGGCGACGGUUGUCCCGGUUUAAGCGUGUAGGCUGGUUUUCCAGGCAAAUCCGGAAAAUCAAGGCUGAGGCGUGAUGACGAGGCACUACGGUGCUGAAGCAACAAAUGCCCUGCUUCCAGGAAAAGCCUCUAAGCAUCAGGUAACAUCAAAUCGUACCCCAAACCGACACAGGUGGUCAGGUAGAGAAUACCAAGGCGCUUGAGAGAACUCGGGUGAAGGAACUAGGCAAAAUGGUGCCGUAACUUCGGGAGAAGGCACGCUGAUAUGUAGGUGAAGUCCCUCGCGGAUGGAGCUGAAAUCAGUCGAAGAUACCAGCUGGCUGCAACUGUUUAUUAAAAACACAGCACUGUGCAAACACGAAAGUGGACGUAUACGGUGUGACGCCUGCCCGGUGCCGGAAGGUUAAUUGAUGGGGUCAGCGCAAGCGAAGCUCUUGAUCGAAGCCCCGGUAAACGGCGGCCGUAACUAUAACGGUCCUAAGGUAGCGAAAUUCCUUGUCGGGUAAGUUCCGACCUGCACGAAUGGCGUAAUGAUGGCCAGGCUGUCUCCACCCGAGACUCAGUGAAAUUGAACUCGCUGUGAAGAUGCAGUGUACCCGCGGCAAGACGGAAAGACCCCGUGAACCUUUACUAUAGCUUGACACUGAACAUUGAGCCUUGAUGUGUAGGAUAGGUGGGAGGCUUGGAAGUGUGGACGCCAGUCUGCAUGGAGCCGACCUUGAAAUACCACCCUUUAAUGUUUGAUGUUCUAACGUUGACCCGUAAUCCGGGUUGCGGACAGUGUCUGGUGGGUAGUUUGACUGGGGCGGUCUCCUCCUAAAGAGUAACGGAGGAGCACGAAGGUUGGCUAAUCCUGGUCGGACAUCAGGAGGUUAGUGCAAUGGCAUAAGCCAGCUUGACUGCGAGCGUGACGGCGCGAGCAGGUGCGAAAGCAGGUCAUAGUGAUCCGGUGGUUCUGAAUGGAAGGGCCAUCGCUCAACGGAUAAAAGGUACUCCGGGGAUAACAGGCUGAUACCGCCCAAGAGUUCAUAUCGACGGCGGUGUUUGGCACCUCGAUGUCGGCUCAUCACAUCCUGGGGCUGAAGUAGGUCCCAAGGGUAUGGCUGUUCGCCAUUUAAAGUGGUACGCGAGCUGGGUUUAGAACGUCGUGAGACAGUUCGGUCCCUAUCUGCCGUGGGCGCUGGAGAACUGAGGGGGGCUGCUCCUAGUACGAGAGGACCGGAGUGGACGCAUCACUGGUGUUCGGGUUGUCAUGCCAAUGGCACUGCCCGGUAGCUAAAUGCGGAAGAGAUAAGUGCUGAAAGCAUCUAAGCACGAAACUUGCCCCGAGAUGAGUUCUCCCUGACUCCUUGAGAGUCCUGAAGGAACGUUGAAGACGACGACGUUGAUAGGCCGGGUGUGUAAGCGCAGCGAUGCGUUGAGCUAACCGGUACUAAUGAACCGUGAGG
rnacentral:rRNA from 1 species